rnacentral:rRNA from 1 species
GCUCAGGAUGAACGCUAGCUACAGGCUUAACACAUGCAAGUCGAGGGGCAGCAUUUCAGUUUGCUUGCAAACUGGAGAUGGCGACCGGCGCACGGGUGAGUAACACGUAUCCAACCUGCCGAUAACUCGGGGAUAGCCUUUCGAAAGAAAGAUUAAUACCCGAUGGCAUAAUUAGACCGCAUGGUCUUAUUAUUAAAGAAUUUCGGUUAUCGAUGGGGAUGCGUUCCAUUAGGCAGUUGGUGAGGUAACGGCUCACCAAACCUUCGAUGGAUAGGGGUUCUGAGAGGAAGGUCCCCCACAUUGGAACUGAGACACGGUCCAAACUCCUACGGGAGGCAGCAGUGAGGAAUAUUGGUCAAUGGGCGCAGGCCUGAACCAGCCAAGUAGCGUGAAGGAUGACUGCCCUAUGGGUUGUAAACUUCUUUUAUAUGGGAAUAAAGUUUUCCACGUGUGGAAUUUUGUAUGUACCAUAUGAAUAAGGAUCGGCUAACUCCGUGCCAGCAGCCGCGGUAAUACGGAGGAUCCGAGCGUUAUCCGGAUUUAUUGGGUUUAAAGGGAGCGUAGGUGGACAGUUAAGUCAGUUGUGAAAGUUUGCGGCUCAACCGUAAAAUUGCAGUUGAUACUGGCUGUCUUGAGUACAGUAGAGGUGGGCGGAAUUCGUGGUGUAGCGGUGAAAUGCUUAGAUAUCACGAAGAACUCCGAUUGCGAAGGCAGCUCACUGGACUGCAACUGACACUGAUGCUCGAAAGUGUGGGUAUCAAACAGGAUUAGAUACCCUGGUAGUCCACACAGUAAACGAUGAAUACUCGCUGUUUGCGAUAUACAGUAAGCGGCCAAAGCGAAAGCAUUAAGUAUUCCACCUGGGGAGUACGCCGGCAACGGUGAAACUCAAAGGAAUUGACGGGGGCCCGCACAAGCGGAGGAACAUGUGGUUUAAUUCGAUGAUACGCGAGGAACCUUACCCGGGCUUAAAUUGCAUUUGAAUAAUCUGGAAACAGGUUAGCCGCAAGGCAAAUGUGAAGGUGCUGCAUGGUUGUCGUCAGCUCGUGCCGUGAGGUGUCGGCUUAAGUGCCAUAACGAGCGCAACCCUUAUCUUUAGUUACUAACAGGUCAUGCUGAGGACUCUAGAGAGACUGCCGUCGUAAGAUGUGAGGAAGGUGGGGAUGACGUCAAAUCAGCACGGCCCUUACGUCCGGGGCUACACACGUGUUACAAUGGGGGGUACAGAAGGCAGCUACCUGGUGACAGGAUGCUAAUCCCAAAAGCCUCUCUCAGUUCGGAUCGAAGUCUGCAACCCGACUUCGUGAAGCUGGAUUCGCUAGUAAUCGCGCAUCAGCCAUGGCGCGGUGAAUACGUUCCCGGGCCUUGUACACACCGCCCGUCAAGCCAUGAAAGCCGGGGGUACCUGAAGUACGUAACCGCAAGGAGCGUCCUAGGGUAAAAC